AGAGUUUGAUUAUGGCUCAGGAUGAACGCUGGCGGCGUGCCUAAUACAUGCAAGUCGAACGAGGUGGAAGGGAGCUUGCUCCUGGAUACCGAGUGGCGAACGGGUGAGUAACACGUAGGUAACCUGCCCUUAAGCUUGGGAUACCCAGAGGAAACUUUGGCUAAUACCGGAUAACAACAGAGGAGGCAUCUCCUUUGCUUGAAAGGCCCUUCAAAGGGUCACUUAAGGAUGGACCUGCGGCGCAUUAGCUAGUUGGUGAGAUAAAAGCCCACCAAGGCGAGGAUGCGUAGCCGACCUGAGAGGGUGAUCGGCCACAUUGGAACUGAGACACGGUCCAAACUCCUACGGGAGGCAGCAGUAAGGAGUUUUCGGCAAUGGGGGAAACCCUGACCGAGCAACGCCGCCGUGAGUGAUGACGGCCCUAUGGGUUGUAAAGCUCUGUUGUAAGGGACGAACGAUCGUUUAGGAAAUGAAACGGUCCUGACGGUACCUUACCAGAAAGCCACGGCUAACUACGUGCCAGCCGCGGC
rnacentral:rRNA from 1 species